rnacentral:rRNA from 1 species
CCUACGGGUGGCAGCAGUGAGGAAUAUUGGUCAAUGGGCGCGAGCCUGACCCAGCCACGUAGCGUGAAGGAUGACUGCCCUACGGGUUGUAAACUUCUUUUAUAAAGGAAUAAAGUGAGGCAAGUGUGCCUUUUUGUAUGUACUUUAUGAAUACGGAUCGGCUAACUCCGUGCCAGCAGCUGCGGUAAUACGGAGGAUCCGAGCGUUUUCCGGAUUUAUUGGGUUUAAAGGGAGCGUAGAUGGGUUGUUAAGUCAGUUGUGAAAGUUUGCGGCUCAACCGUAAAAUUGCAAUUGAUACUGGCAGCCUUGAGUACAGUUGAGGUAGGCGGAAUGCGUGGUGUAGCGGUGAAAUACUUAGAUAUCACGAAGAACUCCGAUUGCGAAGGCAGCCUACUAAACUGCCACUGACAUUGAUGCUCGAAAGUGUGGGUAUCAAACAGGAUUAGAUACCCGGGUAGUC